CAACCGCAUCGUCAUGUGUUUUUCUAAGAUGUAUGCAAACAGGGGAAAUAUCGCCAAACCAACAAUUAAUUUGACCAAAACCUCACAAUAUAUCAUCACUUGUAUGCACAGAUUGGAUGCAUUGUGUGUUGUAAGCUUUUCGUGGCGCUAGAUGUCAGACAGAUGCAAAUGGCAAAUACAUACGAAAGUGUAAACCGUGUAUGGCGAACAUUUGUUUUUUUCUGUCAUUAUAGAUGCUAGUUUGGUGAAAGUUCACACUGAGUGCUUCAAAUCAUUCAGAAGAGAUGCUGUUUUUAGGGCAGUUUAUUAAAGACCUGACAUGGAUGACUUCCAAUGAGAAACGACUGCUAAUACUUGUAUAAAUUCAUUACAGAAGGACCCUACCAGACUAUACAGUAUUUGAAUAUGGCAUACUCAUGAAUUCUAGGACUGUUAUUCCUUAACCCAGUUUGGAGGAUAAGAGCUUACCAACUAGUUAUAAAUAUGCUGAGGUGAUGUAUUGCAAAAUAGCCAACAUACAACAAUAUGGAUGACCCUCUGUCUGGUCAACAGGAGUUUAAAUAUGGACGGGACAAUGAUGUGGCAGCUCUUCCCUGGCUCAUUCACCUCUUGCCUUUCAUUUGUGAAAGGAAGAAAGAAGAAAGAGGGUCAAUGUGCAACUGAAGCUACUGAUUGUGCUGUGUGAUGAGCAUCAAUCCAUGCUUUGAGGUGGAUGGAUCAGCACAGCCCUGCCUGCACUGCGUUGGGAACAGAAGUUGCAUCCAGAAUCUUUGCAUCAUUCUGGACCAAAAAGCCGUUCCCUCCAUGAUGAAGACCACUGAUGCAGCCUUCCACUACAUCAUGAGUAAAACAACUACAGAACUAAAUACCAGGUUGGAACGUAUUUAAGAAAAAUGAAACGUCUUUUGAAUUGAAAUGUCUGUUUUCUUAUGGAAAAAUCUUUAGUAUUGUGAAGGAUAAGCAUUUCUGCCUGCCAGUAAGGUAAUUGCAGUGUAUUUUAAUGUUCAAGUUUUGAGUAGGGUGGCUAAUUUUUUUUAAACUCUCAUUUGAUAUAUUAAAGACCUUAUAAUAAGUGGUUUUCAUGUCACUGCGCUGUGGUAUAAGAUAACUUUCAUUAUUCCAUACUGUAUUAUGUUUUUUUAAUUGUAGCUGAGGUAUUUAAAUAAGCAGUAUUAAAUGCAAAGUGUUGUGUGUAUCAAUGUAAAUAUUAAAUGUGAUGUACUUUAAUAAA